CAUUAUCAUUAUUCAUUUCAACCAUAUCGCUCAGCCCUACACAGCACCUUGACAACAUAUCUGUAAGUCAUUCGUGGGCGAUGCAUUAUUCAUGAAUAUUAUGGAAGGUUCUUCAGAAAGGUGCUUCAAGGGAGAAAUGAAGACAAAUCUCACUUAUGGAACAGCAUACUACUGAUUUAAUACAGUUCGACCACUGUAUUAUGAACCACUAAUUGUCUAUAAAUGUAGGGAAAGGAUAGUUAUUAGGAAGAGUAACUAAAUACUUUUUAGAAACAGGUUCUCCUUGAAAAUAUCAUCCAAUUAAAGCUAUUGUGUCUUCUGCAAUUUUUCAUGACUGAUAUCAAGCCUGCAAGUGUAGCCCUGGGAUUUCUCUCUGACAAUGUCCCCAUUUGGCCCUUAAUUAUUUUCCAGCUUGAAAACCCACCAGAACAAGUAUCAGAGGUCAUUGUUGUCUUGAAUAUUCAUCAUGUCACAGCUAACUUUUUCAGCUUCAAACAUUCUUUCCCUAAUUUAAUCAUCUUCUUCAUUGUGUUUGAGGCAAGCUUGGGAGUGGGAUGAGCUCUUUUACUGGCGCUGUAUGUUCCGUCAGGGCUGCUGACAGGAGAACAAUGUUUGUUUUCACCCAUCUUCUCCAAGAGCUGAGAUUAGAUUGCACAGUGAAGAAUAGGCCAGGUCUGCUCUUAGGUCUCUUUUUUUUCCACCAUAGCACAAUUUUCCCCCAGUAAAUUGGUCUGUGUUUGCCUCACUCUCUACACCAGCAAAACAACAUCUCCCCUGAAGCUAUAGGAUCUCAAUUCGCUCUUUUCCCAAUGUUGCACUCUCACAACUCCAAUGUUUCUGCUCCUACGUAGUUUGCCUCUCUGUGAUCUUUGCUCUCGCUUCAUGCAGUCUGCUGCUGCUUUGGGGAAACUUGCUUGGCUUUCCUUUGAAGAUCCUUUUCAAAUUCCCCACCUUGCUUCAUGUUCUUAAACAGCAAACAUUUGCAAGAAUUAACACUGCACAUGUUAACUGAUCAUCACCGUGAUGCUUGAAGCAAUUCAGAGCCGCGCUUCGAAAAUAACCCUGUCAUUUUCCACGUUCAUGUAAUUAGGAGCCGACGGUGAGCAAUGUUCAGUGACAGAUUAGUUUCUACAUUGAAAUGGCAUCACUCAACAAUGCAAUAAAGAGGUAAAUGUUUACAUAACACUGACGUUCUUUAGGAACAUGAGGUGAAAGCAGAUCGUCAUUAAGCAUGCCGCGACGGUUUAGCAAAGCUUUGUUCCGCUGUUGCAAUAGCCAGCUGUUCAGUGUUUUCCCUCAAGGUCUUGUUCAGUGUCACAGAUCGAGACCUUUCGUAGAUUAGCUUGUACCACCACCUCGAAAUCCUUCCUCAGCAAAUCCCCCAUGUGCCAUCUGAAAUGAAAUUAGAAUGCCCACCAACACAAUAUAGCUUAUUGUUUUUCUUCAGCAUUUCCCUUGAAAAGUCGCUAUUCAUUUUGGUGAAUGAUUCUGUGACCUGCAUGGAUCAGCUCCUUGGAGGGGGAUCUUGUUUGAAUGGAUGAUGCUCGGACACACAAUUUACAUUGUGCUGCGUGUGUGGUAUUCUUUAUGACGCACACCAUGGUGCCAGUUCAGCCUAGUAUUACCUGCUUAUGAGCUAUAAACACAUGAUGUCACCGCAGGGCAGUUAGCUGUUUUACAAAUGUAAUGGAUGGCUUUGAUACGCCUCAUGCCCAAGUAGAGCAAAUGUGUUGUGAAGCUGAUAUAUUUGGAGGAGAAAUUGCUGUCUGAUCUCUAUUUGAAAUAAGAUACCAGCUAAAACUAGCUGCACGAUGCAGGUUUAUGGACAGAUUUACAUCUUGGGGAUAACAACAAAAGCUGCAUAAAUUCCUCAACUGGAUGUCAGCAAACUGCUGCGCACAGCAUUCUUUGCUAUUGGCAGCCUGUUUGGAAACCUCAAUCCAUACUAGGGCCUUGAGUGAACAGUGUGCACAGGAUCAGUUAUACUGUUGAGCAGUGAUGGAGUACUCGAGUCCUGGACUCGGACUCAAGUCUUGGUUUUGGACUUGACUCUGACUCAAGUCGCAAUUCUCUGGACUCGUAACUCGACUCUGAGUCAAACUCGGGUAAUGGGGACUCGACUUGGACUCGACUCGGCCUCUUCUUUGGUGACUCAGACUUGGACUCGGACUCGAACACUGGGGACUCGAGACUUGACUUGGACUCGACUGUUGGUAACUUGACUACAACACUGCUUUAGGAUAUAUUUCACUUAAUACUAAAGGAUAAUCCUUCCUCUUGUUGAGUACUUAGAGCUAAUAAAUAGCCAUCUUCGCUGUCCAUUUGUCAAGAAUUAAACACUAACUACAUCGGCAGAUCUCUGUGACAAAAAGGGCAGGCGUUUGUGAAAAACUUGCAGGCAGGUAACUGUCUAAGUUUGUUUAUUUGUAUUAAUUGGCUGUGAGGGUCUGAUUCCCAAAGCUUCAAGCUUCAAUAUGAUGUGUGGAUCCUGAGUUAUUUGAAAUGUGAGCUGUCUUCCAGUGGAGCAUGUACAAAGUGCAUGAACAAAAUGAUUUUUCAGUGGAUAAAACAACUUCUUUUAUACGUCAGGAUCUAUGAAUUAUUGUUCAGCUUCUGCUAAUGAAAUUGUACUGGGUUUGUACGUAGAAGCCUACCGAUACUACCUUACAACAGGUUCGGAGUUCACAUGUGCUGUAUAUUGUUAGGUGGAGCGAGUGUGUUAAGAUGUUGUUUCUGUGUCUGUUUUACUUUCCAUCGUUCUCUAAAUGGUACUGUAUUGUAAGAUGACAUAUAUAUUUUUACACGUAUCAUUUCAAAUGUUGUAUUGUAUAUAUUGUACUUAAAAUGAAAUCAGAUUAAACAAAUGAAUGCCAACUUUGUGGUGCAUUGUCUGCUGAGACACAGAGAGCAGUGUGCGAGAGAGCACAAAAUAUUGAAUAUGUGUCUGCAGCGUCAGGGCUUGAGUAUUGGUUUGAAUGCUUUGAGGAAAACAAAACACUAUUUAUAUGACCCUGAAUCAAAAAUGUUGUCCCUCUGUCUUUGACUGAAUAUGUCUUGUUUCACUGUUAAAAAUGUUAAUGAAUAAAAGUAGAAAAUACA